AUCACUUCUUGGCCUUUCAGCUAAGAUCAAAUGUAGUAUCUGUACUUAUCAGUUUACUAUUACUUAUUUAGUCAUUGAACAAAAAAUUAAUUAGAAUAUACUGUGUUCUGAGAACUGUA
rnacentral:snRNA from 1 species